UUACGUUUCUUUAAGUUAUAUUU
rnacentral:snRNA from 1 species